ensembl:snoRNA
AUGCCCAGUGAUUAUGAAAAGACGCGUUAUUCUGAGGAACAAACCCUGCUAUUAGUCUGUCUUCUGCUCUUUGCUCUGUCUACACCUCCUCUCCCUUUCCUGCCCUUCCUCCUCUUUAUUUUUCACUCUAGUAGCAGGUCCACUGACUGCGAUUAUGAGAUAUGAGGGCAU